rnacentral:sRNA from 1 species
GAUGCUGAACGUGAAGGAUAACGUUGCGUCAGCAACGGCCCGAAGGGCGAGGCAAAGCCGAGUCAUCCUGCACGACCUACCA